CCCGCUGAACUUAAGCAUAUUAUUAAGCGGAGGAAAAGAAACUAACAAGGAUGCCCUCAGUAACGGCGAGUGAAGCGGGCAAAGCUCAACCUGAAAAUCAGUGCUCCAAGCGGGGUAUCUGAAUUGUGGGCUACAGAUGCAUGAUCAGUGUGUGACCCAGGUAUAAAUCUUUUGAAACAAGGUAUCAUAGAGGGUGAGAAUCCCGUUUAUGACCUGGAGCUUAUCGCCACGUACGAUCUGCAGUCAUAGAGUCGAGUUGUUUGGGAUUGCAGCUCUAAAUGGGAGGUAAAUUUCUUCUAAAGCUAAAUAUCGACGAGAGACCGAUAGCGAACAAGUACCGUGAGGGAAAGAUGAAAAGAACUUUGAAAAGAGAGUUAAAAAGUACUUGAAAUUGCUAAGAAGGAAGCACUGGAAACCAGUAAUUAUUGACCUAUGUAUUUUAUAGUAUUCGCUUCUGGAUUAUGCUUAUGAUAUGGUGCCCAAAGCCCAAUUAUAGGUAUAUGAAGGUGUGAGUAUGUUCGAUAUGUAUGGUCAGAUCAGAAUCAAUUACGUUCGUGAGAGAAAGCUAUGGCAACGGUAGUUCUGUUUGGGGCAACUCAGAUGGAAUGUUUAGUGCUGUAGUGCUAUCAUGGAUUCGUGAUUGAGGUACAAUCGUAAUGCGCACCACUAGGUUAUCCAUUCCCUAACUCUGACAUGAUUCGAAAGCAUGCACAACAAAGUUGUUCGGUUUUCGGAUUGUGUUACUAGAAAGGAUGAAUGAGAAGCAUAAGCAUUCGAGAUUCUGAUGAAAUGGUUUUCAUUGACCCGUCUUGAAACACGG
rnacentral:rRNA from 1 species